rnacentral:rRNA from 1 species
AACGAACGCUGGCGGCGCGCCUAAUACAUGCAAGUCGAGCGAGAAGGUGUAGCAAUACACUUGUAAAGCGGCGAACGGGUGAGGAAUACAUGGGUAAUCUACCAUCGAGUGGGGAAUAACCAGCCGAAAGGUUGGCUAAUACCGCGUACGCUUCCGAGUCUUCGGGCUUGGAAGGAAAGCCGCACUGUGAGUGCGGCGCUCUUUGAUGAGCUCAUGUCCUAUCAGCUUGUUGGUAGGGUAACGGCCUACCAAGGCUUUGACGGGUAGCUGGUCUGAGAGGACGAUCAGCCACACUGGCACUGCGACACGGGCCAGACUCCUACGGGAGGCAGCAGUAAGGAAUAUUGCGCAAUGGGCGAAAGCCUGACGCAGCGACGCCGCGUGGGGGAUGAAGGUCUUCGGAUUGUAAACCCCUUUCGGGAGGGAAGAUGGAGCGAGCAAUCGUUCGGACGGUACCUCCAGAAGCAGUCACGGCCAACUUCGUGCCAGCAGCCG